CAGCCUUUGUUGAUAAACUGAAAGCAGUUAUUGCUUUAUUGUCAUGAGGAUGACUGGUUUCUUCUUCCUCUCUCUGCAGGCUAAGAGAUCACAUUGCAGCAAAGACCAAACUUCCCAUCCUCAUAUUUCCUGAAGGAACGUGUGUCAACAACACCUCUGUCAUGAUGUUCAAAAAGGGAAGCUUUGAAAUCGGAGGAACGAUUUAUCCUGUUGCCAUUAAGUACGACCCUCGAUUCGGAGAUGCUUUCUGGAACAGCAGUAAAUACAACAUGGUCAGCUACCUACUGCGCAUGAUGACCAGCUGGGCCAUAGUGGUCAAUGUGUGGUAUCUUCCUCCUAUGACCAUACAGG